rnacentral:lncRNA from 1 species
GGAUUGCGGAUCUGUCUUCUAGAAAUUGGCAAUAUUAUCUUGUAUUUCAUUAUGACUUUGCUCUACUUCAAUAUAUUGCUAUUUAUUCAGUUCUUAGUUUAUUCUAGUUGCAUAUUCGAUAUAGAUGUGGUUUCUGAUGAUUAUUGUUAUAUGAUUGUAAAGCGCCUGAUUCAGUACUCGAGUGAGUCAGGUGGUGCACAGUAUGUAGACAUGGUGUCUAGAUAUUUUGUGUACUUACGGAGGCACCCUGAUGUACCAGGUCGUGUGGUAGUCCGCAUAGGUGACAACUACGUUGGUUCCUCUGUAGUCCACCCCCAGU